AACGAACGCUGGCGGCAUGCCUAACACAUGCAAGUCGAACGAAGGCUUCGGCCUUAGUGGCGCACGGGUGCGUAACGCGUGGGAAUCUACCCUUGGGUUCGGAAUAACUCACCGAAAGGUGUGCUAAUACCGGAUGAUGUCGAAAGACCAAAGAUUUAUCGCCCUAGGAUGAGCCCGCGUAGGAUUAGCUUGUUGGUGAGGUAAAGGCUCACCAAGGCGACGAUCCUUAGCUGGUCUGAGAGGAUGAUCAGCCACACUGGGACUGAGACACGGCCCAGACUCCUACGGGAGGCAGCAGUGGGGAAUAUUGGACAAUGGGCGAAAGCCUGAUCCAGCAAUGCCGCGUGAGUGAUGAAGGCCUUAGGGUUGUAAAGCUCUUUUACCCGGGAUGAUAAUGACAGUACCGGGAGAAUAAGCUCCGGCUAACUCCGUGC
rnacentral:rRNA from 1 species